CCUACGGGGGGCUGCAGUGGGGAAUAUUGCACAAUGGGCGCAAGCCUGAUGCAGCCAUGCCGCGCGUGUGAAGAAGGCCUUCGGGUUGUAAAGCACUUUCAGCGGGGAGGAAGGCGUUAAGGUUAAUAACCUUGGCGAUUGACGUUACCCGCAGAAGAAGCACCGGCUAACUCCGUGCCAGCAGCCGCGGUAAUACGGAGGGUGCAAGCGUUAAUCGGAAUUACUGGGCGUAAAGCGCACGCAGGCGGUCUGUCAAGUCGGAUGUGAAAUCCCCGGGCUCAACCUGGGAACUGCAUUCGAAACUGGCAGGCUAGAGUCUUGUAGAGGGGGGUAGAAUUCCAGGUGUAGCGGUGAAAUGCGUAGAGAUCUGGAGGAAUACCGGUGGCGAAGGCGGCCCCCUGGACAAAGACUGACGCUCAGGAGCGAAAGCGUGGGGAGCAAACAGGAUUAGAUACCCUUGUAGUC
rnacentral:rRNA from 1 species